UUGUGUCUCUAUGUUUUAGCUUUAUUUGCCCAGUAGUUCUUGUAGUUUGUUCUCAACCCUCCUAAUUAAAAAAAAGUUAGUUUCAACAGUUCAAGAUCGUAGAGACAUGAAUAGGUGAAAAUGAUCAAUGUGUUUAAUUGUUAAAUUUAAGAUGUGUAAAACUUAUACUUUUUAAAAAAUACUUUAUUUAUUUCUAAAUUGCAAUUUUAGUUUUUUAAUUUGUUG